rnacentral:sRNA from 1 species
GGCUGGUCCGGUGGGAUAUCAGAACUUAUUAGUGUCACUAAAGUUGGUAGACAAUCCCCCACUGCUAAAUUUGACUGGCUUAA